UACGUAGGGUGCAAGCGUUGUCCGGAAUUAUUGGGCGUAAAGAGCUCGUAGGCGGUCUGUCACGUCGGCUGUGAAAUCCCGAGGCUCAACCUCGGGUCUGCAGUCGAUACGGGCAAACUAGAGUAUUGCAGGUGAGACUGGAAUUCCUGGUGUAGCGGUGAAAUGCGCAGAUAUCAGGAGGAACACCGGUGGCGAAGGCGGGUCUCUGGGCAAUAACUGACGCUGAGGAGCGAAAGCAUGGGGAGCGAACAGG
rnacentral:rRNA from 1 species